ACUCAUAUUAAUAACAUAAAUCAUAUAGGAUGCUAGCACCAAUGUUUAUGAAAUCCAGAUAAAAAUAAAAGUAAAAUCAUAUUCCUAAAUUCAUACUAAAUAGCAAUAAUUCCUAAAACUAAAAGAACUACAAGAAAAUACUCCUUAUCACAAGAAAUUUAGUUUUCUUCAUCGUCACAAAAAGAAUUGAGGUUGUAUUUUUCAAUCUAACUUUUUUUUUUCUUUUCCAUAAUUGCAAAUUGCUUAUAGUCAA
rnacentral:misc_RNA from 1 species